rnacentral:tRNA from 2 species
GUGGGAGAGGCUUAGUGGUUUGGCGUGAGAUUGCAACGUAUCUUCUUUAGAACGGCGCCCUAUAGAACAUCUUGAGGUCGUGGGUUCGAUUCCCACCUUCCACU